rnacentral:rRNA from 1 species
UACGGAGGAGGCAAGCGUUAUCCGGAAUUAUUGGGCGUAAAGCGUCCGCAGGUGGCACCUCAAGUCUGCUGUCAAAGACCGGGGCUUAACCCCAGAAAGGCAGUGGAAACUGAAGUGCUAGAGUGCAGUAGGGGUAGAGGGAAUUCCCGGUGUAGCGGUGGAAAUGGCGCAGAUAAUCAGGAGGAACACCGGUGGCGAAGGCGGGUCUCUGGGCCGAUACUGACGUGGAGGAGCGAAAGCGUGGGGAGCGAACAGGG